CCCUCCUGUGGGGGCUGCUGUAUAUUUAUUCCUCAGGAGAAGCUGGUAGAAGACUUCAUGAAGGAGAAGAAAAGGAAAAAUCCUUUACUUAAUUGGAGGAAGCACUGAGACUCACUUCAUGAACUUGUACUUUUUAAAGGUAGAUUGAAGAUAAGUUGUUGUGCUGCACUAUUUCUGUUGCUACUCGUGAGAGUCACUACCAGCCUCUCUUCUCAGGAUUAAUGAAUGGGCCAGAAACCGUGGGCAGAAUGACUUCAGGCAACCCCAAACACCAGAUAUUGGCAUAAGGAAACAGUACAAUGAAAAGUCAAUACUUGGACCUUUGUCAUUCCACAAAGCAUGAUGUACUAUCUAAAACAAAAAAGAAGAGCUGCUUUGGAGAAGGGUUUUAAAAGUUUGUUUCAUCAGAAGAAAGAUUUAGAAGAGGGAAAACUUCCAGUUAUAUAAGAUGGGCAUUUAGCUUUUAAAGGCAUCUGUCCCCUGUGUAGGUCAUUGAGAUUGAUACCAGGAGCAGACUGUGGCUGCCAAAGACAGUUUAACUAAGUGGUUUCAUGCUCCUAGAGAGAUGGUGUCACUCUCUUGUCUCUCACUUUGGUGGAUAUUCAUCUGCAAUGAGUCCAGUACCUGAAGGAGCAAGAGAACAACAAGUAUACAGGGGGACAACAGUAUGGCCUUCUGAGUGAAGAUAGCAGCGGAAAAUGUCAUGAGAUUGACUGCAUUGGGCUGGGCUUGUUCUUUUAAAAAAAAAAAAACAAGUCUUAUUUUUGAUGAUAAAAGUAACAGGUGGUCAUAGUUAAAAAAAUAAAGUGAAAGGUAUAAAUUAAAAAGUAAAGAAUAUGAUUUUACAACUC
rnacentral:lncRNA from 1 species